UACCUGGUUUAUCCUGCCAGUAGUCAUAUGCUUGUCUUAAUGAUUAAGCCAUGCAUGUGUAAGUAUGAAUAUAUUCAGACUGUGAAACUUUGAAUGGCUCAUUAAAUUAGUUAUUGUUUGUUUGAUGGUAUCUACUACUCGAAUAACCGUAGUAAUUCUAGAGCUAAUAUGUGCAACAAACCCCAACUUCUGAAAGGGAUGCAUUUAUGAUAUAAAAGGUCGACGCGGGCUCUGCCCAUUACUGCGAUGAUUCAUGAUAACUUGACGGAUCGGACGACCAUUGUGCCGGCGACGCAUCAUUCAAAUUUUUGUCCUAUUAAGUUUUGAUAGUAGGAUAAUGGCCUACCAUGGUGGUGAUGGGUGACGAAGAAUUAGGGUUUGAUUUUGGAGAGGGAGCCGGAGAAAUGGCUACCACAUCCAACGAAGGUAGCAGGCGCGCAAAUUAUCCAAUCCUGACAUGGGGAGGUAGUGACAAUAAAUAACAAAACCAGGAUCAAUGAGUCUUGUAAUUGGAAUGAGUACAAUCUAAAUCCCUUAACGAGGAUCCAUUGGAGGGAGAUUCUGGUGCUGACAAUCGUGUUAAUUCCAGCACCAAUAGCGUAUAUUUAAGUUGUUGCAGUUAAAAAGCUCGAAGUUGGACUUUGGGAUUGGCCGGCCGGUCCGCCUAUGGUGUGCAUUUGUCGUCUCGUCCCUUCUAUCGGCGAAGCACUCCUGGCCUUAACUGGCCGGGUCGUUCCUCCGGCGCUGUUAGUUUGAAGAAAUUAGAGUACUUAAAGAAAGCCUAUGCUCUGUAUACAUUAGCAUGGGAUAACAUUAUAGGAUUUUGGUACUAUGACGUUGGCCUUUGGGAUCGAAGUAAUGAUUAAUAGGAACAGUCGGGGGGCAUUUGUAUUUCAUAGUCAGAGGUAAAAUUAUUGGAUUUAUGAAAUACGAACAACUGCGAAAGCAUUUUCCAAGGAUGUUUUCAUUAAUCAAGAAUGAAAUUUGGGUGCUCAAAGGCGAUCAGAUACCGUCCUAAUCUCAUUCAUAAACGAUGCCGACCAGGUAUCUGCGGAUGUUGCUAUUAGGACUCCUCCGACACCUUAUGAGAAAUCAAAGUUUUUGAGUUUCGGGGGGAGUAUUGUCGGAAGGUUGAAACUUAAAGGAAUUGACGAAAGGGCACCACCAGGAGUGGAGCCUGCGAAUUAAUUUUACUCAACACGGGGAAACUUACCAGGUCCAGACAUAGUAAGGAUUGACAGACGGAGAGCUCUUUCUUGAUUCGUUUGGUGGUGGUGCAUGGCCGUUCUUAGUUGGUGGAGUGAUUUGACUGGUUAAUUCUGUUAAUGAACGAGACCUUAGCUUGCUAACUAGCAAUGCGGAGGUAUCCCUUGGCAGCUAGCCUCUUUGAGGGACUACGGCCUUUUAGGCCGUGGAAGUUUAGGACAAUAACAGGUGUGUGAUGCCCUUAGAUGUUCUGGGCCUCACGCGCGCUACACUGAUGUAUUCAACGAGUUUAUAGCCUUGGCCGACAGGCUCGGGUAAUCUUUGAAAUUUUAUCGUGAUGGGGAUAGAUCAUUCCAAUUGUUGGUGUUCAACGAGGGAUUCCUUGUAAGCGUGAGUCGUCAUCACGCAUUUACUAUGUCCGUGCCCUUUAUACACUCCACCUGUCGCUCCUACUAAUUGAAUGAUCCGAUGAAAUUUUUGGAUCGUGGUGACGUGGAUGGUUCGCUGCCCGUGACAUCGAGAGAAGUGCAAUUAAACUUAUCAUUUAGAGAAGGAUAAUUCGUAACAAGGUUUUCGUAGGUGAAUCUACAGAAGGAUCAUUG
rfam:Capsicum annuum cultivar Zunla-1 unplaced genomic scaffold scaffold2697, whole genome shotgun sequence